rnacentral:rRNA from 1 species
UACGUUGGUGGCAAGCGUUGUCCGGAUUUACUGGGCGUAAAGGGCGUGCAGGCGGUUUGUUAAGUCUAGGGUGAAAGCUCCCGGCUCAACUGGGAGAGGUCCUUGGAUACUGGCAGACUUGAGGAGGGUAGAGGAGAGUGGAAUUCCCGGUGUAGUGGUGAUAUGCGUAGAUAUCGGGAGGAACACCAGUGGCGAAGGCGGCUCUCUGGGCCCUACCUGACGCUGAGACGCGAAAGCGUGGGGAGCGAACCGG